ACCAUUUUUGGUCCCACUUUGGUGAAGCCUGGCAGCCAUUACACCACACACCAGGUGGAGAGCAAGGAAAUGCGUAAAUGAGGCAAUUACUGUACAUUGAGGUAUGAUUAGGGGGCCAAAUUGAAAGUGUCAGAUUAGGAAUUUAAUAUCAUAUGUGGCCCGGUUGAUUUGCACAACGUUUCCAUCACCAGACAGGCCCCGCAUCAGACUACCGUAAUUUCCAGACUACUAGCCGCGGCUUAUACAUUGAUUUAGCAAAAUUUCUUCAGCUAUGAGGUUAAUACAGGGGGCCAGUUAAUAUGGUUUUGUUUCUUUUAACUUGCAUAAAACACUUUCCUGCGGCUUAUACACAAUGCGGCUUAUAUGCGGGAAAUUACUGUACUAACAAGACACCUGAGAUGACCUAUCUGCUGUAGGAGUUUCACUGGGGUAUAUGUUCCACAAGGGUGCCAUCAGUCAUUAUCUUUCUCUCUCUCUCUCUCUCAGAUUCACUCUCUCUCCCCCUUUCUCCUUUUCUCAGCUUGACAGCAGUGGCAAGAUGACAUCAGAAUGAAAGUGAAAGUGGUGUAGCCAAACAGAUGACUGCUCUUUGGACAUGUCUGCCUAAGUUCCCCAUUAUGUGCUGAACUUCUCUUUUGUGGUUGCAGGAAAAGAACUUUGGUGACAGCUGAC